GGGGUUGUGGCUCAGUGGUAGUGUGCUUGCCUAGCAUGCAUGAGACACUGAGUUUGAUUUUCAGCAACACAU
rfam:Ictidomys tridecemlineatus contig103702, whole genome shotgun sequence.